rnacentral:rRNA from 1 species
UGAAGGGUGAUCGCCCACAUGGACUGAGACCGCCCAGACUCCUACCGGAGGCAGCAGUAGGAUCUCGCCAUUGACGAAAGUCUGACCGAGCACGCCCGCGUGAGUGAUGAAGUUUCCGAUCGUAAGCUCCUGUUGUAGGGAGAACAAGUGCGAGAGUACUGCUCGCACCUGACGUACCUACCAGAAAGCCACGGCUAACUACGUGCCAGCAGCCGCGGUAAUACGUAGGUGGCAGCGUGUCCGGAAUUAUUGGGCGUAAAGGGCUCGCAGGCGGUUUCUUAAGUCUGAUGUGAAAGCCCCCGGCUCAACCGGGGAGGGUCAUUGGAAACUGGGAAACUUGAGUGCAGAAGAGGAGAGUGGAAUUCCACGUGUAGCGGUGAAAUGCGUAGAGAUGUGGAGGAACACCAGUGGCGAAGGCGACUCUCUGGUCUGUAACUGACGCUGAGGAGCGAAAGCGUGGGGAGCGAACAGGAUUAGAUACCCUGGUAGUCCACGCCGUAAACGAUGAGUGCUAAGUGUUAGGGGGUUUCCGCCCCUUAGUGCUGCAGCUAACGCAUUAAGCACUCCGCCUGGGGAGUACGGUCGCAAGACUGAAACUCAAAGGAAUUGACGGGGGCCCGCACAAGCGGUGGAGCAUGUGGUUUAAUUUGAAGCAACGCGAAGAACCUUACCAGGUCUUGACAUCCUCUGACAACCCUAGAGAUAGGGCUUUCCCUUCGGGGACAGAGUGACAGGUGGUGCAUGGUUGUCGUCAGCUCGUGUCGUGAGAUGUUGGGUUAAGUCCCGCAACGAGCGCAACCCUUGAUCUUAGUUGCCAGCAUUCAGUUGGGCACUCUAAGGUGACUGCCGGUGACAAACCGGAGGAAGGUGGGGAUGACGUCAAAUCAUCAUGCCCCUUAUGACCUGGGCUACACACGUGCUACAAUGGACAGAACAAAGGGCUGCAAGACCGCAAGGUUUAGCCAAUCCCAUAAAUCUGUUCUCAGUUCGGAUCGCAGUCUGCAACUCGACUGCGUGAAGCUGGAAUCGCUAGUAAUCGCGGAUCAGCAUGCCGCGGUGAAUACGUUCCCGGGCCUUGUACACACCGCCCGUCACACCACGAGAGUUUGCAACACCCGAAGUCGGUGAGGUAACCUUUAUGGAGCCAGCCGCCGAAGGUGGGGCAGAUGAUUGGGGUGAAGUCGUAACAAGUACCCUUAA